rnacentral:rRNA from 1 species
CCUACGGGCGGCAGCAGUGGGGAAUAUUGGACAAUGGGGGGAACCCUGAUGCAGCGACGCCGCGUGAGUGAAGAAGUAUUUCGGUAUGUAAAGCACUAUCAGCGGGGAAGAAAGAAAUGACGGUACCUACCUAAGAAGCCCCGGCUAACUGCGUGCCAGCAGCCGCGGUAAUACGUAGGGGGCAAGCGUUAUCCGGAUUUACUGGGGGUAAAGGGCGCGUAGACGGUCAGGCAAGUCUGGGGUGAAAGGCGGGGGCUCAACCUCCGAACUGCUUUGGAAACUGUAUAACUGGAGUGCAGGAGAGGUAAGUAGAAUUCCUGGUGUAGCGGUGAAAUGCGUAGAUAUUAGGAGGAACACCAGUGGCGAAGGCGGCCCACUGGACUGAGACUGACGUUGAGGUGCGAAAGCGUGGGGAGCAAACAGGAUUAGAUACCCCGGUAGUC